CUGUAGCUCAGAGGCAGAGCAUCAACUUUGUGUGCAGAAGGUCCUAGGUUCAAUCCCCAGCAUCUAUGG